GAUGAACGCUGGCGGCGUGCCUAACACAUGCAAGUCGAACGAAGACUGUGUGACGGAACUCUCCGGAGGGAAGACGCGCAGGACUGAGUGGCGGACGGGUGAGUAACGCGUGGGUAACCUGCCCUGUACAGGGGGACAACAGCUGGAAACGGCUGCUAAUACCGCAUAAGCCUACAGUACCGCAUGGUACAGCAGGAAAAACUCCGGUGGUACAGGAUGGGCCCGCGUCUGAUUAGUUAGUUGGCAGGGUAACGGCCUACCAAGACAACGAUCAGUAGCCGGCUUGAGAGAGUGAACGGCCACAUUGGGACUGAGACACGGCCCAA
rnacentral:rRNA from 1 species